rnacentral:rRNA from 1 species
UACGUAGGGCGCAAGCGUUAUCCGGAAUUAUUGGGCGUAAAGAGCUCGUAGGCGGUUUGUCGCGUCUGCCGUGAAAGUCCGGGGCUCAACUCCGGAUCUGCGGUGGGUACGGGCAGACUAGAGUGAUGUAGGGGAGACUGGAAUUCCUGGUGUAGCGGUGAAAUGCGCAGAUAUCAGGAGGAACACCGAUGGCGAAGGCAGGUCUCUGGGCCACUACUGACACUGAGAGACGAAAGCUAGGGGAGCAAAUGGG